UGGCCAUUCUAGAGGCGGAGCAGAAGGCGGAAGAGGAAGAAGGACCUGAAAAGAGUAGUGCAAAGACAAGAGGAAACAAGAAAAAUAAAAAUGUAGCAUCUAAGUAGUCGGGACCUUAAAUUCUCUCAUCUCCUAAUCUAGUAAAGGGCCUAAAAGACAAUCAUUGAAAUGCUAGUAUAGAUUAUUUCAUCGAAAUGCGGUUGCAGGAAAAUGAUUUUCCUUCUCUCUCCAGGUACGCCUGGAAAUAAUACAGUUUAUUCUGUUGAUACUGACAUAUCAUAAGCAAUCAAUGUUUAACAUGACUUCCAAUGGGGACAAACUGCAGUUGGCCAUUCUAGAGGCGGAGCAGAAGGCGGAAGAGGAAGAAGGACCUGAAAAGAGUAGUGCAAAGACAAGAGGAAACAAGAAAAAUAAAAAUGUUGCAUCUAAGUAGUCGGGACCUUAGAUUCUCUCAUCUCCUAAUCUAGUAAAGGGCCUAAAAGACAAUCAUUGAAAUGCUAGUAUAGAUUAUUUCAUCGAAAUGCGGUUGCAGGAAAAUGAUUUUCCUUCUCUCUCC
rnacentral:lncRNA from 1 species